AUUCGCUUUGUUGGUACAUAUUCAAAAAUUGAAACGACGCAGAGAAGAUAUGCCUGGACCGUGCACAAAAAUGACAGGCAAAAUUGUAAAGUAUUCUAUAUUUUU
rnacentral:snRNA from 1 species